rnacentral:misc_RNA from 1 species
UUCAUUUUGAAGGAGAGUCUGGCUUUUAUGUUUGAGAUUGCUCAUCUCCAUGAAGAUGCAUUACGUGAAUAUGACGAGCUAGAACUCUGCUACUUGGAAACAGUGAAUAUGACUGGGAAACAGAGGGACUUUGGAGGAAUGGACAGCGGCGACGAUCAGGCUGCAUUGCUUAACCCAGGAAAAAAAGCACUUAACCAGAUUGUUCAAGAUGAUUCUUUUAGGGAAUUUGACUUCAGGCAGUAUCUAUUUGCCUGCCAAUCAAAUCUUCUCUUUAAGCUGACUCGACCAUUUGAAGUAGCAUCAAGGGGGCAUUCAUUUAUUAUUAGCUUCUCAAAGGCAUUGGCCCUUCAUGAGAGUAAAUUGCCCUUCUGUACGCGUGAAGUAUGGGUUAUAACCGCUUCCUUGGCUUUAAUCACUGCAACUGCUUCUCAAUACAAAGAUGGACAAGUGGCUUCUGACAUUGAAAAAGAGUUUUACCGGGUUCAGGGGGACCUUUAUUCUUUAUGUCGUACUAAGUUCAUGCGGCUGGCAUAUUUAAUUGGUUAUGGAUUACAUAUUGAAAGAAGUCCUGUGAACAGUGCUUCACUUAGCAUGCUGCCUUGGCCUAAGCCAGGGGUUUGGCCUUCUCUUCCUUCCGAUGCUUCAUCUGAGGUGCUUGUGAAAGAAAAGAUGAUGUUUGAAGAAAGUCUGCGGGUUAAGCAUUUUGGUAUUCAGAGGAAGCCUUUGCCUCUAGAACCAUCUGUACUUUUGCGAGAAGCAAAUCGCAAAAGAGCUUCUAUUUCAGCUGGGAAUGUGUUUGAAAUGUUUGAUGGACAUCCAAAUGCAAUUGAUGGCUCAGGUUCAACGUCUUCACCAGCAAAAUCACAGUCGAUAUCAAUGUCAAGAACUAACUCUUCUCCUGGAAACUUUGAGAGCUCAAUGAGCCGACCUUUGAGGCUUUCAGAAAUUUGUGUUGCUGCUGAACAUGCUUUGCGGAGUACAAUUUCUGAUGCAGAACUGUGGAAAUCAUUGUCUUCUGUCCAGGAAUUUGAGCAAAAAUACCUGGAGCUGUCAAAAGGAGCUGCCAACAACUAUCAUCGUUCAUGGUGGAAGAGGCAUGGAGUUGUACUUGAUGGUGAAAUUGCAGCUGUGUUCCAUAAAAACAGAAAUUAUGAUCUUGCUGCAAAAUUGUAUGAAAAGGUUUGUGCUCUUUAUUCUGGUGAAGGAUGGCAGAAUCUUUUAGCUGAGGUCCUUCCCAAUUUAGCUGAGUGCCAAAAGGAACUUGGUGAUCAAGCUGGCUAUCUAUCUUCAUGUGUAAGAUUGCUCUCAUUGGAUAAAGGAUUGUUCUCCAGCAAGGAACGUCAAGCAUUUCAGUCUGAAGUGGUUCGUCUUGCUCAUAGUGAGAUGGAGAACACCGUGCCUCUAGAUGUGUCCUCACUGAUAACAUUUUCUGGCAAUCCUGGACCACCACUGCAGCUUUGUGAUGGAGAUCCUGGUACACUCUCCGUCGUUGUAUGGAGUGGAUUUCCUGAUGACAUUACUCUAGAAUCACUUAGUCUAACUCUCACAGCCACAACUAAUACCGAUGAGGGUAUUAAGGCAAUAAAAAGAUCCGGUGAGACGAUAUUAAAGCCUGGAAGGAAUACAAUCAUGAUCAAUUUACCUCCGCAGAGACCCGGUUCUUAUGUUUUGGGGGUUCUUACAGGGAAAAUUGGUUUACUAAGUUUUAGAUCUCACAGCUUUUCAAAGGGUGCUCCUGCAGAUAGUGAUGAUUUUAUGAGUUAUGAGAAGCCAACAAGGCCAAUCUUAAAGGUGUUCAAGCCAAGGUCUCUGGUUGAUCUUACUGCUGCUGUUUCAUCUGCUUUAUUGAUGAAUGAACCUCAGUGGGUUGGAAUAAUUGUGAAGCCAAUUAGUUACUCUCUCAAGGGUGCAAUUCUGCACAUAGACACUGGUCCUGGGUUGACUAUUGAAAAAUCUCAUAAUAUUGAAAUUGAGAGGCACGUAAUUGGGCGCACAGAUGAGUUAGACCAUUCUGAAGGUUUUAAAGAUGAUGACAGUUCCGCAGCUACUCCCGAAGUUAAACAAAUGUCUCUUCAUGAUGGAAAUAUUGAGCUGCCUGAUUGGGCAAGCAACAUAACUUCUGUUUUGUGGAUUCCUGUGCAUGCAACCAGUGAUGAACUUCCUAAAGGUGCUCCUGCAGGUGCAGUUGCUCCGCAGAGACAGAACCUAGUGGAGGGACUGAGAACAAUAGCUUUGAAACUUGAAUUUGGGGUGUCACGGAACCAAAUAUUUGAAAGGACAAUUGCUGUGCACUUCACUGACCCCUUCUCUGUAAGUACACGAGUUACGGACAAAAGCGCUGAUGGAAAAUUGCUUUUGCAGGUGAUACUGCAAUCACAAGUCCAAGCUACAUUGACCAUCUAUGACUCUUGGCUUGAUCUUCAAGAAGGCUUUGCUCACACUGGAAAUGGUGAUAAAAAGCCAAUAUCUGGAUUCUUCCCCUUAGUGAUCUCUCCGAAAUCUAGAGCUGGGAUUCUCUUCAGUGUAUGCCUGGCAAGUGCACCAAUAGAAGAAGAAGCUGAGAUCCAGUGUCCUGAGAGCAUUUUAAAUAUUAGAUUUGGUAUUUUGGGAAAUAGAGCUGCUGGUGCCCAUGACCCCAAUGCUGAGGAACCAAGUGGACAUGAUGGAUCGACUCAGAGUCUGAUUUUCAAGAGCUCUCUUCUUUUACAGAGACCUGUGCUUGACCCUUGCUUUGCAGUCUGAUUUUCAAGAGCUCUCUUCUUUUACAGAGACCUGUGCUUGACCCUUGCUUUGCAGUCGGUUUUCUACCUCUUUCUUCAACUGAUCUUCAAGUAGGACAGCUUGUUAGCAUGAGAUGGAGAGUUGAAAGGUUAAAGAGUUUGGAGGAAAAUGCAGCUUCUGAAAACAAUGAUGAUGUUCUAUACGAGGUCCAUGCAAAUUCAGAUCACUGGAUGAUUGCUGGGAGGAAAAGGGGACAUGUCAUACUCUCUACAGAACAAGGAUCGAGAAUAACUAUUUCAGUAUUAUGCUUGCCGCUAGUUGCUGGAUACGUUCGUCCUCCUCAAUUGGGAUUGCCAAAUGUUGAUAAGGCCAAUAUUUGUUGCAAUCCUCCUAGUCCACAUUUGGUGUGCGUCUUCCCUCCAGCUUUAAGUUCUUCUUUCUGCAUACCACCCUGAAACCUUUGGUCAUCCUUUCCUCCUUUCUCAUUAAAAGCAUGAUGAGCUUCACAUGGAUGGUUUAACUUGGGUCUUGCCAGUGCUUGUACAAUAUGUAUUCUCUUUUCUAAAGGAAGCGAGUUUUUUUUAGUGUCAAAGAUGUAGACCUAAUGUACAGAGAACAGUUUUGCUUGUACAAUAGAUGAGAUUCUGAGAGAGAAAUUAUUUGUAAACGGAACAUUAGUAGUCGGGGGAGAUAAAUGAAUUAAAGAGUUUUAAGUGAUUAUUG